rnacentral:rRNA from 1 species
AUAUACCUACGGGAGGCAGCAGUAGGGAAUCUUCCACAAUGGGCGAAAGCCUGAUGGAGCAACGCCGCGUGGGUGAAGAAGGUCUUCGGAUCGUAAAACCCUGUUGUUAGAGAAGAAAGUGCGUGAGAGUAACUGUUCACGUCUCGACGGUAUCUAACCAGAGAGCCACGGCUAACUACGUGCCAGCAGCCGCGGUAAUACGUAGGUGGCAAGCGUUAUCCGGAUUUAUUGGGCGUAAAGAGAACGCAGGCGGUCUUUUAAGUCUGAUGGGAAAGCCUUCGGCUUAACCGGGGUA